CGCCCCCUCUCAUCCCCUCCCCCACUCAUCCGACAGUGGCUACAUGCGCACACAACCGGCGACCAACAUCACGCAAAGGUCGCCACCGCCGUCGCCGAAGGACAGCGUUCCCCAAACGCUAGCCACAACCUCUGCCUCGGCCUCCUCGACCGCCACUCGCUCUUCUUGGCAGCACCGUGCUGCCUUCCUUCCCAUGCCGUGUCCACCAACUGCCCUGCUCGCACCGACCUCACCAAUCUCACGGUCGCGCUUGGCUGUGCUCGCCUUGUCCUCGCCGGCAUCGCAGCCGCAGGCCACGUGGACUAAAACUCCGCCGCCAGCGACAGUGGGUCCUUCCCGUGCCUCUACCACCUCAUGGCCAAGUCCUCCUCUCCCCAAAUCGACAUCCACCCCUUUGUCGAGCCUGCCAUGCCAGUAACAUGAGCAGGAUGGUGUACACCGGCUCGGGAUGAGGUCGACGUUGAUCAGUCGAACAGUUUGUGGAGCUGUACCAGGAUCCUAUAGAGCAGAUGGGCAUCAUUGAGAUGCAGUACACGCAUGCAGUACACACUCUCUUAGGUCAAGACAUGGCAGGAAAUGACAUUGUGAAGAAGUUGGCAGCUUCACG